rnacentral:rRNA from 1 species
UAUGGCUCAGGAUGAACGCUAGCUACAGGCUUAACACAUGCAAGUCGAGGGGCAGCGGGAUUGAAGCUUGCUUCAAUUGCCGGCGACCGGCGCACGGGUGAGUAACGCGUAUCCAACCUUCCGUACACUCAGGGAUAGCCUUUCGAAAGAAAGAUUAAUACCUGAUAGUAUCUUAAGCACACAUGUAAUUAAGAUUAAAGAUUUAUCGGUGUACGAUGGGGAUGCGUUCCAUUAGGUAGUAGGCGGGGUAACGGCCCACCUAGCCAACGAUGGAUAGGGGUUCUGAGAGGAAGGUCCCCCACAUUGGAACUGAGACACGGUCCAAACUCCUACGGGAGGCAGCAGUGAGGAAUAUUGGUCAAUGGACGAGAGUCUGAACCAGCCAAGUAGCGUGAAGGAUGAAGGUCCUACGGAUUGUAAACUUCUUUUAUAAGGGAAUAAACCCUCCCACGUGUGGGAGCUUGUAUGUACCUUAUGAAUAAGCAUCGGCUAACUCCGUGCCAGCAGCCGCGGUAAUACGGAGGAUGCGAGCGUUAUCCGGAUUUAUUGGGUUUAAAGGGAGCGCAGACGGGUCGUUAAGUCAGCUGUGAAAGUUUGGGGCUCAACCUUAAAAUUGCAGUUGAUACUGGCGUCCUUGAGUGCGGUUGAGGUGUGCGGAAUUCGUGGUGUAGCGGUGAAAUGCUUAGAUAUCACGAAGAACUCCGAUUGCGAAGGCAGCACACUAAUCCGUAACUGACGUUCAUGCUCGAAAGUGUGGGUAUCAAACAGGAUUAGAUACCCUGGUAGUCCACACGGUAAACGAUGGAUACUCGCUGUUGGCGAUAUACUGUCAGCGGCUUAGCGAAAGCGUUAAGUAUCCCACCUGGGGAGUACGCCGGCAGCGGUGCAACUCAAAUGAAUUGACGG